UAUGUAUUUGCCCUGUUGUUACACUCUUCUGUUUAUAGCUGUUGGUGAUAAAAUUCUGGGCUCACAGCCUCUUGAGCUGAGCUCGUAUCACUGUUCUUAGGUACUAAUUAAUUAAUUAGUAAAUGAAAAACAGAAACAGACUAUCUACAGUGAGAGCAUGUUCUCCUUUGCUGGAGACAUUUAAAAGCAGACACAGGAUAUGGCCUGGCCUAGGGCCAUACUGCUUUGUCCAAAUCCUCUUACUCCACUAUGCAAGAAUCACAGCCAUAAAUCAGCGUCAGAACAAAGACAGAUGA
rnacentral:lncRNA from 1 species